rnacentral:rRNA from 1 species
UACGGGGGGGGCAAGCGUUGUUCGGAAUUACUGGGCGUAAAGGGCGCGUAGGCGGUUGGAUAAGUCAGCUGUGAAAACCACGGGCUUAACUCGUGGCCUGCAGUUGAGACUGUCUGGCUUGAGUGUGGGAGAGGAGAGUGGAAUUCCUGGUGUAGCGGUGAAAUGCGUAGAUAUCUGGAGGAACACCGGUGGCGAAGGCGGGUCUCUGGGCAUCUCCUGACGCUGAGGCGCGAAAGCGUGGGGAGCAAACGGG